rnacentral:miRNA from 1 species
AAUUACACAUGUAAAUCUCAGU